rnacentral:rRNA from 1 species
CUACCAUGGCGUUUACGGGUAACGGAGGAUUAGGGUUCGAUUCCGGAGAGGGAGCCCGAGAAACGGCUACCACAUCUAAGGAAGGCAGCAGGCGCGUAAAUUACCCAAUCCUGACUCAGGGAGGUAGUGACAAGAAAUAACGGACCGGCCCUUUCGGGCUCGGGAUUGCAAUGAGCCGAAUUUACACCCCUUAGCGAGGAUCGAUUGGAGGGCAAGUCUGGUGCCAGCAGCCGCGGUAAUUCCAGCUCCAAUAGCGUAUAUUAAAGUUGUUGCAGUUAAAAAGCUCGUAGUUGGAUUUCUGGGAGGGUGCCAAUGUCCGCCGACGUGCGUGCGCAGCGGCGCCCUUCCAUCCUUCUGUUAACGCCUCUUGGCAUUCAUUUGCUGGUGGCGGGCUCAGAUAUUUUACCUUGAGAAAAUUAGAGUGUUUCAGGCAGGCUAGGCCGGAAUACAUUAGCAUGGAAUAAUGGAAUAGGACUACGGUCUCUUUGUUGGUUUGAGGGACUGCAGUAAUGAUUAAUAGGGAUAGUUGGGGGCAUUAGUAUUUAAUUGUCAGAGGUGGAAUUCUCAGAUUUGUUAAAGACUAACUUAUGCGAAAGCAUUUGCCAAGGAUGUUUUCAUUAAUCAA